rnacentral:lncRNA from 1 species
CAGCUCUGAAUUCUGGGUCAACCGUGGACCGACUGUGACCCUUCGGGCAAGUCCCUUCGCCUCUCUGGAGCUGGCUCAUAAGAGGGAAAAGGAACCCCUGUGGGGAGGGUCUAUUUAUCCUGGCGAAGAUUGCCUGAAGUGAUCUUCUAACAGGAGCGUUUCCAGAGGAGGGGCUGGGCUGGGAGAGGUGUGGACAGCUGGGGACCGCUCUGAGCAGUGCAGCCCCGGGCGCCCCACACCACCACGUGGUCUGGGGAGGAAGGUGGGAGCAGACACACAAGAAGGGACCUCUGGGGGUCUGUGGGCCCCUGCCAUGUGGAGGGGUGCCCAGGGACCCUUGGGGACGGGGGGGGGGAACAGGGUGGGUGGCGGCACUGGGGAGGGGGUGAGGCUAUGGCCCAUGCCCUCCUCCUCGCAGAAUGUCUGCCACACACUCUGGUGCUCUGUGGGGACCACCUGUCACUCCAAGCUGGAUGCAGCCGUGGACGGCACCCGGUGUGGGGAGAAUAAGUGGUGUCUCAAUGGGGAGUGCAUACCUGUGGGCUUCCAGCCCGAGGCCAUGGAUGGUGGCUGGUCUGGCUGGAGCGCCUGGUCCAUCUGCUCACGGAGCUGUGGCGUGGGCAUACAGAGAGCCAAGCAGCAGUGCCUGCAGCCUAUGUGAGUGUGGGGCCCAGGGUGCCCUGGGCAAUGGGACAG